rnacentral:misc_RNA from 1 species
UACGUAGGGGGCAAGCGUUGUCCGGAAUUAUUGGGCGUAAAGGGUGCGCAGGCGGUCAGUUACGUCGUGUGUGAAAGCCCCCGGCUCAACCGGGGAGGGUCGCGCGAAACGGGCUGACUGGAGGCAAGGCGAGGUCGGUGGAAUUCCCGGUGUAGGGGUGAAAUGCGUAGAGAUCGGGAGGAACACCAGAGGCGAAGGCGGCCGACUGGACUUGACCUGACGCUGAGGCACGAAGGCGUGGGGAGCGAACGGG